CUUUUAUUUGUAUAUGCUUUCAUAAGUUUUAAGGCAUCAUUUUACAUCAAAUUAAACAUAAUUUAGGUGCCUGCAUACUUGCCUUUGAAACAAGAAUGUGCGCUUUACAGGUUUAAACAUUAAGGUGAAUUUGUUAAUAAAGAAAACAGUAUAUAUAUGUCAUCAUGUGAAAUCAUAUCGAGGUGGCCCUAUAUGAAAAAACAUUUAGACUUGUGCCUUGGAAUUCGUACAGGCGCGAAUAGAGGUUCGGGCGCACCUAUUCAGAGAUCACACCUUUUUAAUAACAUGAGAUAAUAUCUUCGGGAUUUCUUAUAAGCUCUGGAUAUAUCUAGCUUGCUUGAAGUUAGCAGCAACUGACCAAGGUCAAUUCAGACCUAAUUAUUUAGCUGAAUUUCUUCACAGCGGAAUACAACGAAGCAAUACAGAAAUGAUGGACUGGACCAUGUCUUCAAGAGGCUUUACCAUUUGGUUAUUUAUAGCAUGUUUGCAAUGGAGCCUCAGUCAUGCCCAGAUAUCUGUGUCUUCAUUCAAUUGUGACUUCGACAGUGGAACGUUUUGUGGGUCUGGAGUUGCAACCUGGGAGAUCUACAGAGGAAACACUGGGGGCUCAGACACAGGACCAGACUCGGACCACACAUCCCAAGACGAACGAGGUCGAUAUGCAUCAAUCGACGCCUCUAGCAUGUCCACAUCCCAAAUUGCCACGCUCACCACUCCUAAAAUCUCUCGUGGCGCUGCCUACAGGGUGGAUUUCUACUACCAUAUGUACGGAAUUGGCAUCGGCUCACUCACUGUGUACACAAAUACCAGCGGCACAAUCAAACAGAUAUUUAAACAAGAAGGUAAUCAGGGAACGGAGUGGCAACCCGCCACUAUAACUUUAGACGUAACAGAUGAAGACUUCAACGUCAUAUUUGAGGCAAAGUCAGCUGAUGACAGUGCCACUGUCCAAUUUGGAAAUAUCGCUCUGGAUGAUAUAAGUAUUGCAGAAGUUGGGUCAGGAUGUGGUAUGAGAGAUAUCAUAUUUGCAAUCGAUUCAUCUGGAAGUAUCGGAGAUGCCAACUUUACCCUCAUCCUCGACUUUGUGGCUGGGAUCGUUCAGGAUAUUGAAAUAGGCCCGACUGCGAACAGAAUCGGUGCUAUGAGUUUCUCUAGUGAUUCGGUCAUCCGGUUCCACCUGAAUAAAUAUUUAUCUAAAACGGUGACGAUUAGGGCAAUACAGGCGAUACCCUAUGACAAAAGGGGAACUAUGACUGCAACUGCUUUGGAUAUGGCUGCAUCGAUGUUUUCAACGAAGAAUGGGGAUCGGCCAGAGGCAGAUAAUGUUGCCAUUGUGAUAACUGAUGGUCGUUCGGAUGAGCAGGGUGCUCGAGAGGCAGCCGAGAGGUUGAGGAACGCCGCAGGCGGUGUACAGGUGUUUGCCGUAGCCAUUCUAACCAAAGAAUUGAACAAGGCAGAAGUAAGAGCGAUCGCCUCUGAUCCAGAUGCUGACUAUUAUUUCGAAGUUAUGACAUUCAAAAACUUGCCAGAUAUCAAAGGAAGACUUGCUUCUGCCUCCAGUGGAUGUGAAUUUUACUGUGAAGGAUCAAAGGUUGACGUUGUAUUUGCUGUUGAAAGAAGUGUCAACGUGUCUGACAUUGAGAACAUCAUGACAUUUCUCAAGCGAACCAUGGAAGAACUGGGAGUCAGUGAGAACGAAGGUUUCAGUUUUGGAUUGAUUACAUUCUCUGGAGAAGCCAAAGUGGAAUUCAAACUUGGAGAAUUCAAUAAUUUCCCUGCCCUGAAAAAUGCCGUAGAAAAGAUCGAGGUUGGAACCGGAGGGAGGGGAACGUACAAUGCUUUGAGGCUACUACGCGAGAUGUUCACAGAGGAGAACGGCGACAGGGCAGAUGCCGCAAAUGUAGCUAUCGUACUGACCAAAGGGAUAUCAGAUGACGUUGACAACACAAUGAAUCAGGCUAGGAGACUGCAUGAUAUAGGAGUCAAGGUGUAUGCUAUUGGAGUUGGUGAGAUGGUGAAUCAUGACGAACUGAAUGCCAUAGCAACAAGCCCCGUAAAAACCCACGUCCUUAACGUAACUAAAUACGAGGAUUUGGUUGGUAUCAUAAACCCUGUCAAGGAAAGAGCAUGUUACGACACAGAAUGUCGCAAGCGUGAACUCGACUUGGUAUUUAUGGUCGAUGACUCUUCUAGUAUUAAUAGCGCUGACUACGCUCGUUGCCUUGGAUUCAUCAGAGCGGUUAUCAGCCGAUUGGAUGUAGACCCCAAGUCCACCAGAGUCGGCCUCAUCACAAUGACUGGCACGACAAUUCAUUUCAAUCUGGACACAUAUCAAACUAAGAUAGAUACGCUGAAGGCAGUUGAGGAAAUACCCAAGUCAAAUGGUUUGAGCGAUCUAAAGGCUGCAAUAUCCACUGUACGAAAUGAUAUGUUUGGUAGUAAAAGCAGGGUCAAUGUGCCCAGGAUGGUUAUAGCCCUGACUGACGGUAAACAUACUGAUAAGCAAGGCAUCGCUGAACAGGUGGCAGAGGCAAAGAGAGAAGGCGUGAUGUUCAUAGCUGUUGGUGUUGGAAACGAGGACAAUGUGGACAUGCCGACUUUGAAACUAAUCACUGGAGACGCCAGGCGUCUCUUCAUCAUUGAUGAUCAUAUGCAGCUCAGAGAUGUGGCGGCCAGGGUUACACAAAGUGCUUGCAAAGUUACUGUGUGUGAAAUCCCCGUUGAUAUCGUCUUCGCACUGUCUCGAUGUGGAAAUAUCACUGGAACUGAGUAUGCUGAUGUACUGGAGUUUGUUGGUAGUCUUGUGGAUGAGCUGGACAUUGACAGUGGUCGUGCUAGGGUCUCAAUCAUUUCUUACUGCCAGGAUGUAUCAUAUUUUGUUUACCUUAAAGACUAUUCUAGUCGUCUCGCUAUAAGAGAUAUCAUAUCUGACAUGCCAACCGAAACCUCUGGGACACCUGACCUUGUAAACGUCUUGAACAAACUCAAAAGUGAUGUGUUUAAACAGAGCAAUGGUGAUCGUUUUGGAACACACAAUGUAGCAGUGUUUAUUGCAAAGGGUGAGAACACGCAGGCCGCCAGUAGCAUCGAGGCAGCCGCAGCAGACGUUCAAGCAGCUGGCAUAGAGAUUUUCUCAGUUGCAUUCGGAAGUUCUCUUGCUGAGACAAAGUUGGAUCUUGUUGCAUCAAUACCAAAAGAAGUACAUCAGUUUCAAGUGGAGAAGGCCAACAAUCUGCCAACUAUUGAGAGAGGUUUAGCUCGUACGGCUGCUUGUCCGAGUGGGUGUGAAGGAAUUGCAGAUAUCACUUUUAUUGUUGAUAGGUCGGGUAGUAUUGGUGUGGCCGAUUUUGAAAAAAUGAAAGCAUUUCUUAUUAGUAUCGUAAAUGAUUUGGCUAUUGAUGGUGAUAAUAAAAACAAAAUAGCAGUCAUUACAUACAGCGAUACUGCAAGAUUGGAGUUUGGAUUGAGCAGUCAUGGAAACCGAGACGCUGUGAAAGAUGCAAUUACAAACUUGCCAUUUACAAGUGGAGCGACUCACACUGCGGACGCCUUACGUAUGAUGAAUGAAGAAGUCUUUACACUCACUGCCGGUGAUCGUCCUAAAGUACCAAACAUUGGUGUUCUCAUAUCAGAUGGUGUGUCCACUGUUAACGCUUGGAAUACCCCAGUGGAGGCGCUUAAAGCCAAACAAGCAGGAAUAGAAAUAUUUGCUCUUGGUAUAGGAUCGGAUUCUAUUGAGAAGGAAUUAAAUGCAACUGCUAGUGAUCCUGAUGAGAAAUAUGUGUUUAGAGUGAGAGAAGGUAUAGAUGCAUUGCCUUCUAUCAAAGCCGCUCUUGUACAAGGGAUCUGUAAUUAUCUUGAUAGCUGUGAUCCAGACCCAUGCCACGGCAAAGGGACGUGUGAGGACAACUUAUACGGAUAUGAAUGUACUUGCCAAGGAGAAUCAUCUGGAGACAGUUGUGACAAAACUUGUAACGUCCAUAGCGAUGUUGUGUUUCUGAUGGAUUCAUCCGGCAGUAUUGGUGCUGACAACUUCAUCAUAAUGAAGAACUUCAUCAAGGCUAUCGUCAACGAUCUUAAUGUGGGCGCUGGUAUGUCUCGCAUUGCGCUCAUCAGCUUUGGUUCCGAUGCUUUCAUUCACUUUUCCUUGAGCGACUAUGAUACAAAGGCGGGUGUAAUGCACGCUGUGGAUAGAAUACCAUAUACAGGUGGCGCUACCAACAUUGCCGACGCUAUACAGCUAGCAAGAUUUGGAGUCUUCAAAAAGCCUAGUGAAAUUGGCAACAAUCGAAAAAUUGCAAUCAUGAUCGGUGAUGGGAGAUCCACUGUUAACGUAAAGGACACCGUAUUGCAAGCCCGACAGGCCAGAGAUGAAGACAUUCAUAUAUUUGCAAUAGGUAUUGGUCAAGAACUGUUGAUGUCUGAGUUAAGAGGUAUUGCAAGCGAUCCAGACGAAAAAAAUAUUUUCCAGGCUGAUAACUUUGAUAUGCUCAUGAACAUCCGAACGAUACUUGUUGACCCUGUAUGUAAUUAUGUCGACGAGUGUAGCAGUUCACCAUGUCAGAAUAAUGCAACCUGCGUGGAUGGAGUAACUGGCUAUCACUGUCAAUGCAAACCUGGUUAUUCUGGAUACCGAUGUGAAAAACAAUGCGAAAAGAAGGUGGAUGUGAUGUUUGCUCUUGAUAGUUCUGGUAGUUUGGGUGUGGACAACUUUUACAAACAACUUUACUUUAUGCAGGACCUCACCAGCCAACUAGGCUAUAAUGGUGGAGAGGGAGUUCGAGUCGGCCUGUUGACCUUCUCGGAUAGAGUCACUAACGAGUUCUCAUUCGAUCGCUUCCUUGACAAAAACGCCAUUUCCAACGCUAUAGGCUCGAUACCUUACGUAAAUGGAGCAACGAAUACACAACUUGCGUUUAAAGAACUUCGUAAACAAUUUGUUCUCAAAGGACGCGGUGACGCCGACAAAAUUGGUAUCCUUAUCACAGAUGGCAUUCCCACUUGGAGUUUGAAUCGAAACCAAGACAUAGUCGAGGCAAACAUUACACGAACAGCUGGAAUAAAAGUCAUAUCAGUAGGAAUAGGAGAUGCAAUUGAGAAAAAAAGACUUGAAAAAUAUUCAUCUGAACCUAAAAAAGACAAUGUUUUCCAAGCAAAAGAUUUUGAUAGUCUAAGUAUUUUAGUCAGUGCAUUGGGAGAGAAGAUCUGCAAUGGUUUAUAGCGGAAUCACAGAGAGCAAACAAACAUUACAUGGCCUUGUUUUCUUCAUUCCAAGAUUCAAAAGAUUGAAUGAGAAGUCAACGUGUUCUAUAAAGAGAAACAACAAAUGAGAAAGAAUUUUUUGGAAUCUAAAUUGAUUCCCCUCCAUAAUGAAAUAGCUGUUUGACACUCGACGCAUGCGCAGUCAAUGCAUGAUGUCAUGACCCCCAUUUCUCUGACUCCCAUUUCUCAAAACUAUUUAUUUAAAGAUUGUGGGCUUUUGGACGUAAAGCUAACUUGAUUAUUUUGUUUUGUUCUAGUGUUAUUGAGAAUCUCUUCUUCAUAUCACCUACCUUAUAAUUCAUACAAUGUAAAUCUACAAGUAUUGUACAUAUCAUUUUCAAUCGCAAAUCGCAUAAUACUCAAUCAUGCAAAAUAAUGACCUAACACGCUUUUUCGUGUUAACGAUGUAUAAUAUGUAUUUAUAAAGCUGGCAUGUGUCAGAUCAUUUUAAGUGUAAAUACUUGAGUAUGACCUAGUUAUUUGCGGAAUACAUUUUCCUCAAAAACUUGGAACUUCCCACAGACCAAUGUUAUUUAAAGUCUAUUCAACAUUAUUACUAAAUUGUACAUAAAUCUAAAUCUUUUAUUGGUGCUACAUACUGAUUAACUGAAAUAAACUAUAAACUAUUUUAAAUAGUUUAUGUCAAUGUGUAAUCAUCAUAAUGUGAGAAUAGUUUGGUAAUAUUUUUGGGGGGAUAAAAUAAACUAUGUUCUAGUAUUUAAGUACGACAUUAAUAAUAUUUAUCUAAAUCAAACAUUUUUGUUAUAUAUUUCUUAUUUUGGAAUAGCAUAUACUUUACCAUAGUUUCAUUAAUAUUCGUGUAUUAAAGUCAAUAAACA
rnacentral:misc_RNA from 1 species